GACAACGUGGCCGAGUGGUUUUAAGGCGUUCGCCUGCUAUUAAGUAGCCCAGCGGAUUCCCUUUGGGAGCGCAGGUUCGAAUCCUGCCGUUGUCG
rfam:Schizosaccharomyces cryophilus OY26 unplaced genomic scaffold supercont4.4, whole genome shotgun sequence.